UCAAACUGAUCUCAUCCCCAGGGCAAUUGAGCAUAAGCGGAAGUGUCUGUUGAUGCCGCAUGCAUAUCAUGUCGGAAAGACGGAAAUGUCCGACUUGAUAACCUAGGCAGAAGAUCUCGGAUCCCGAGUUUCCCACUUGGGAGUAACCAGAAUCAACCAAUCGGAAGCUCUACGUAAAUAACUUACGUUCAUUUUAACUCGGACGUCCAGAGUUUCCGACAUGAUCUGAACGCGGCAUAAGUUCAAACAGAAGAUUUAUGAACAAGAUCAAUAUGUGAGGCUUUGUAUGAUCAAAUCAAAUGACAAUGUAUCCAGUCAGCGCAAUAUACACUGAGUUCUGUAUGAUGGAACAGUGUGUCUAGAUCCUCAGUUAAACCAGAGGACUCAUUCUGUCUGCUCAGCUGUCUGGAGGGCCACAUGGAACCUAACCGGCAAAUGGACCUGAGCCCAAGAAUCAUGCCUCAGGACUACCUGGUUAAUGACUCCUGGCUGCCCCCAUUCCACCUGGUUGUCCUGCUGCUCCGGUUUAAUCUGUUCUGCCUGCGCUUAUGGAACCCUGACCUGUUUUCGACUCUCUCUCUACCGUACCUGCUGUGUUGACCUCUGAAUGCUUGGC